rnacentral:rRNA from 1 species
UUACUGAAUGAACCGGGAGGGGUUGUCGCUGGCCUUGGAAACAGGGCAUGUGCACGCCUCUCUCGUCCAACCUUCACACCUCUGUGCACUUCUCAUGGGUCAGAGUUUGCGCCUUCGGGCAAAGAUUCUGGUCUGUGUGUUUUCACAUACACAUGUUUGUUAUAGAAUGUCUACUGUGCAUGAAUGCAUAUAAUACAACUUUCAGCAACGGAUCUCUUGGCUCUCGCAUCGAUGAAGAACGCAGCGAAAUGCGAUAAGUAAUGUGAAUUGCAGAAUUCAGUGAAUCAUCGAAUCUUUGAACGCACCUUGCGCUCCUUGGUAUUCCGAGGAGCAUGCCUGUUUGAGUGUCAUGGUAUUCUCAACUCUUGUUGUUUUUGCAACGGGUGUUGGACUUGGAGGUGUGCAGGCGUUGUACGUCUGCUCCUCUGAAAUGCAUUAGCUCGGACCGUUGUCGAGUGUAAUCCGGCGUGAUAAUUGUCUACGCUGCGUUGCCUCUUCAAAUUGAAGGUCUCAGCUUCCAAUCGUCUCUUUGUGGACAAUUUUGAAACAUCUGACCUCAAAUCAGGUAGGACUACCCGCUGAACUUAAGCAUAUCAAUAAGCGGA